GGUGAGAAACGCGUGGAAACGUGUCCUUCAGUAUGGAAUAACUACGGGAAACUGUAGCUAAUACCACAUAACGCAACUGGUUAUGGUGAUCGGUUGCCAAAGAUUUAUCGCUGAAGGGGCGGUCCGCGUCCGAUUAGCUAGUUGGUAGGGUAACGGCCUACCAAGGCUACGAUCGGUAGCUGGUCUGAGAGGACGAUCAGCCACACUGGGACUGAGACACGGCCCAGACUCCUACGGGAGGCAGCAGUAGGGAAUAUUGGACAAUGGGGGCAACCCUGAUCCAGCCAUGCCGCGUGAGUGAUGAAGGCCUUCGGGUUGUAAAGCUCUUUCGUGUGGGACGAUAAUGACGGUACCACAAGAAGAAGCCCCGGCUAACUUCGUGCCAGCAGCCGCGGUAAUACGAAGGGGGCUAGCGUUGUUCGGAAUUACUGGGCGUAAAGGGCGCGUAGGCGGCUCUAUAAGUCAGGCGUGAAAGCCCCGGGCUCAACCUGGGAACUGCGCUUGAGACUAUAGAGCUUGAGUGUGAGAGAGGUUGGCGGAAUACCCAGUGUAGAGGUGAAAUUCGUAGAUAUUGGGUAGAACACCAGUGGCGAAGGCGGCCAACUGGAUCACAACUGACGCUGAGGCGCGAAAGCGUGGGGAGCAAACAGGAUUAGAUACCCU
rnacentral:rRNA from 1 species